GUCUAUGGCUGUACCACCCUGAACAUGCCCAGUCUCAGAAGCUAAGCAGGGUCAGGCUUGGUUAGUACUUGGAUGGGAGAGUAAAUGGGUGAUUUCCAGAGGCCAGGAAGU
rnacentral:rRNA from 1 species